rnacentral:other from 1 species
CCUGCUUGGUGCGUGAUGUGUCCUUUUGGACCCACAUUUUUUAAUCGGGACGCCGAACUUCCCGAUCGGUUUGCAGACCUCCCGCCUGCGCUUUGACGACAGGCGGAUGUUGGGAGCAGUGAAGAUCCGGAGAGGCGACCCACCUGCCUUUUCGUGCAGGUCAUAAUCGGACGCACACGGCCAAAGCGGGGCUUUC